rnacentral:rRNA from 1 species
GAUGAACGCUGGCGGCGUGCCUAAUACAUGCAAGUCGAGCGAACAGACGAGGAGCUUGCUCCUCUGACGUUAGCGGCGGACGGGUGAGUAACACGUGGAUAACCUACCUAUAAGACUGGGAUAACUUCGGGAAACCGGAGCUAAUACCGGAUAAUAUAUUGAACCGCAUGGUUCAAUAGUGAAAGACGGUUUUGCUGUCACUUAUAGAUGGAUCCGCGCCGCAUUAGCUAGUUGGUAAGGUAACGGCUUACCAAGGCGACGAUGCGUAGCCGACCUGAGAGGGUGAUCGGCCACACUGGAACUGAGACACGGUCCAGACUCCUACGGGAGGCAGCAGUAGGGAAUCUUCCGCAAUGGGCGAAAGCCUGACGGAGCAACGCCGCGUGAGUGAUGAAGGUCUUCGGAUCGUAAAACUCUGUUAUUAGGGAAGAACAAAUGUGUAAGUAACGAUGCACGUCUGGACGGUACCUAAGCAGAAAGCCACGGCUAACUACGG